rnacentral:tRNA from 1 species
AUCAAGGUGGCAGAGCCCGGACAAAUGCAGAAGGCCUAAGCCCUUUAAACAGAGGUUCAAGUCCUCUCCCUGAUU